GACGAACGCUGGCGGCGUGCCUAAUACAUGCAAGUAGAACGCUGAAGGAGGAGCUUGCUUCUCUGGAUGAGUUGCGAACGGGUGAGUAACGCGUAGGUAACCUGCCUGGUAGCGGGGGAUAACUAUUGGAAACGAUAGCUAAUACCGCAUAAGAGUAGAUGUCGCAUGACAUUUGCUUAAAAGGUGCAAUUGCAUCACUACCAGAUGGACCUGCGUUGUAUUAGCUAGUUGGUGAGGUAACGGCUCACCAAGGCAACGAUACAUAGCCGACCUGAGAGGGGGAUCGGCCACGCUGGGAGUGAGACACGGCCCAGGCGCCUACGGGAGGCAGCAGGAGGGAAUCUUCGGCAAGGGACGGAAGGCGGAGCGAGCAACGCGGCGGGAGGGAAGAAGGGUUUCGGAUCGUAAAGGUCGGUUGUAAGAGAAGAACGAGUGUGAGAGUGGAAAGUUCACACUGUGACGGUAUCUGACCAGAAAGGGACGGCUAACUACGUG
rnacentral:rRNA from 1 species